GACCGAACCGACUUACGUUGAAAAGUGAGCGGAUGAACUGAGGGUAGCGGAGAAAUUCCAAUCGAACCUGGAGAUAGCUGGUUCUCUCCGAAAUAGCUUUAGGGCUAGCCUCAAGUGAUGAUUAUUGGAGGUAGAGCACUGUUUGGACGAGGGGCCCCUCUCGGGUUACCGAAUUCAGACAAACUCCGAAUGCCAAUUAAUUUAACUUGGGAGUCAGAACAUGGGUGAUAAGGUCCGUGUUCGAAAGGGAAACAGCCCAGACCACCAGCUAAGGUCCCAAAAUAUAUGUUAAGUGGAAAAGGAUGUGGCGUUGCCCAGACAACUAGGAUGUUGGCUUAGAAGCAGCCAUCAUUUAAAGAGUGCGUAAUAGCUCACUAGUCGAGUGACACUGCGCCGAAAAUGUACCGGGGCUAAACAUAUUACCGAAGCUGUGGAUUGUCCUUUGGACAAUGGUAGGAGAGCGUUCUAAGGGCGUUGAAGCAUGAUCGUAAGGACAUGUGGAGCGCUUAGAAGUGAGAAUGCCGGUGUGAGUAGCGAAAGACGGGUGAGAAUCCCGUCCACCGAUUGACUAAGGUUUCCAGAGGAAGGCUCGUCCGCUCUGGGUUAGUCGGGUCCUAAGCUGAGGCCGACAGGCGUAGGCGAUGGAUAACAGGUUGAUAUUCCUGUACCACCUAUAAUCGUUUUAAUCGAUGGGGGGACGCAGUAGGAUAGGCGAAGCGUGCGAUUGGAUUGCACGUCUAAGCAGUAAGGCUGAG
rnacentral:rRNA from 1 species